UACCGCCUCCCCCGAUGUUUUCACAGUCUCCCCAAAAUCAUCUCCUCCUGAGCCCUAAACCCUAAAAAAUUGGCCAGAUCUUUGAGAAAUCCUGAAGGAUCUCCUCAAUAUCUCUCAUCUCUGUCGCUGGAAGUACAAAUUUGCGAAGCUGGAAACCCUAGAAAUUGGAGCCGUGGGCGUCGCGAUCGAACCCUAGAAUAGAAUCGGGAUUUCUCAAUCAAAAGUUUUACUACAUCAUGCGUGGCUCAUAUUUUUUUAUGUGCAAAGGCUAUGGAGAGACAAGCCACAUGAACUAAAAAGUCAAUUGGGACACUGGACAAUAAUGCAAGUAUUUUGAUAUUUCUGGCCCUUCCAAGUCCUUUAAGAACAUAAUGUUUGAAAGCUCUUUCCCCAUUGAAUAAAAGACAAUGCCCACAACAUUCUAGCUAGUAAUCAAAGAGGAAUUAAUACCAUUGAUACUGAUCACUCUUUAGAUGAAGGAAUAAAGUUCAAUGUGAGCUAUCAUGUUCAGAUGAAUUUUCUCCCUUAUUAGGGGAGAGUUUUAGGGAGAGAUGGCAUUAAUUUUGUACCUUGUUCAGAUAUUUUCUAAUUACUGCAUUAAUGACUUGUUCA